GUCACGUUUACUUUUGUAAUGAAUAUAACGGGCAACAUAAUCCCCAAGCACGUGACCCGUUGAUCGUCCGAACUCUCUAGUAAAUAUAGGUGGUCCAUCGACAUUUACAAUGACAAUCAUAUUGAAGAAGUCCCUUGCGUCAGUAAGUCUGACCUUUCGAGAAUACAAGGAAAAACAUUAAUUUUCAAUGUAAUUUAUUUCUGUGAUCGUUAAAUAUUGGCUGAACAAAAAGUUUUGGAAUACGAAGAGUAUUUUUCGGAAGAAAGUGAAGCUCCUCCUCCGAUUCGUUUUCUGCAUCUUGACAUUUUUCCAACAAAUGGAGGGACAUAAAGUUUACGCUAAACCGCCUCCGAACGGCAGAGGUGGGGAGCCAUAUCAUGUCAGAUAUUCACUUGGAGGGGACGACCGCAAUUAGAAAAUCUAAUUUUAGAUGUUGUUCGUGACAGGAUAUGAACCCGGGCUUUCCGAGUGGCAGUAAGCAAUGCAACCACUCGGCUUCAGAGGCCGACGAAAUAUUACAAAUGUUAAGAAAUCUAUAGAAACUUGUUGUGUCAUCUUGUUCAAGAAAAGACAGAAACUUUGUACGAAAUACAAUAGUAAAUUUGCAAUUGAUGAGAGAAGGGGAACAAAUGCAAUAAUUAUACGAAACAAAUCUUACACCUCGGUGAACCAAAUUUUUGAGGACUUUUUCCACUAAAUUAAGUCGUAUGUCAUGAAAAGUACGUUCAAUAUUGACUUUUAAAGCUUGAAUAGAGUCUGGUUUAUUGCUAAAAACCAAUUACUUCAAAUAACCCAACAAGUAUAAUGAUAGUAAAUCACAACUUCUUGGAGGCCAUUCAAUGUCACAGUAUCUUGAAUUAAUCGAACCUUUCUCGCAAUAAUUUGG